rnacentral:rRNA from 1 species
GAUGAACGCUGGCGGCGUGCUUAACACAUGCAAGUCGAACGGACUUUUAAUGAAGCCUAGCGAUUUAAAAGUUAGUGGCGGACGGGUGAGCAACGCGUGGGUAACCUGCCUCAUACAGGGGGAUAACAGUUAGAAAUGGCUGCUAAUACCGCAUAAGCGCACAGUACCGCAUGGUACCGUGUGAAAAACUCCGGUGGUAUGAGAUGGACCCGCGUCUGAUUAGCUAGUUGGUAAGGUAACGGCUUACCAAGGCGACGAUCAGUAGCCGGCCUGAGAGGGUGAUCGGCCACAUUGGGACUGAGACACGGCCCAAACUCCUACGGGAGGCAGCAGUGGGGAAUAUUGCACAAUGGGGGAAACCCUGAUGCAGCAACGCCGCGUGAAGGAUGACGUAUUUCGGUAUGUAAACUUCUAUCAGCAAGGAAGAUGAUGACGGUACUUGACUAAGAAGCCCCGGCUAACUACGUG